rnacentral:rRNA from 1 species
UCUGGGACAAGCCCUGGAAACGGGGUCUAAUACCGGAUAAUACUUUUUCCUGCAUGGGAAAGGGUUGAAAGCUCCGGCGGUGAAGGAUGAGCCCGCGGCCUAUCAGCUUGUUGGUGGGGUGAUGGCCUACCAAGGCGACGACGGGUAGCCGGCCUGAGAGGGCGACCGGCCACACUGGGACUGAGACACGGCCCAGACUCCUACGGGAGGCAGCAGUGGGGAAUAUUGCACAAUGGGCGAAAGCCUGAUGCAGCGACGCCGCGUGAGGGAUGACGGCCUUCGGGUUGUAAACCUCUUUCAGCAGGGAAGAAGCGAAAGUGACGGUACCUGCAGAAGAAGCGCCGGCUAACUACGUGCCAGCAGCCGCGGUAAUACGUAGGGCGCAAGCGUUGUCCGGAAUUAUUGGGCGUAAAGAGCUCGUAGGCGGCUUGUCACGUCGGAUGUGAAAGCCCGGGGCUUAACCCCGGGUCUGCAUUCGAUACGGGCAGGCUAGAGUGUGGUAGGGGAGAUCGGAAUUCCUGGUGUAGCGGUGAAAUGCGCAGAUAUCAGGAGGAACACCGGUGGCGAAGGCGGAUCUCUGGGCCAUUACUGACGCUGAGGAGCGAAAGCGUGGGGAGCGAACAGGAUUAGAUACCCUGGUAGUCCACGCCGUAAACGUUGGGAACUAGGUGUUGGCGACAUUCCACGUCGUCGGUGC